UUAACUAUUGAUGAUACUGAAGACGUUUGUUAAAGCAACUGGAGCAGCAGAAGGGAGAAUGUGGCAAGAAAACUAAUAAUAUUCUGAAGAAGAUACAGCUCUACUAUUCAACUUGCAGAUAUUCCAUACUUGGUGUAUGGGAAUUGCUAAGUCAUGGCCUGAACCAGUGAUUGAGCACCUGGUGAAGGAACACAGCCAGCCGUAGGAGCACAGAUGAAAGCAGUUCACCUGUGCAACCAGAAGAAGUGAAACCAAGUUCUUCCCCUCCCUAAAGAUGAGCUGAGACAAAGAUGUUGCUUUCAGAAGACUGACUACAGAGCCUCCUGAGAUCCCUUCCAAAGGGAAUUGCCCUUCUGAGUAGUCUCAUAGGAUUAAGAUGGACAGUAUUUGAAGAUCAGAUUUCAUGGAAGACUUCACAAAUAGUUCU